AUUGAACGCUGGCGGCAUGCCUUACACAUGCAAGUCGAACGGCAGCACGGGUGCUUGCACCUGGUGGCGAGUGGCGAACCGGUGAGUAAUACAUCGGAACAUGUCCUGUAGUGGGGGAUAGCCCUACGAAAGCCUGAUUAAUACCGCAUACGAUCUACGGAUGAAAGCGGGGGACCUUCUGGCCUCGCGCUAUAGGGUUGGCCGAUGGCUGAUUAGCUAGUUGGUGGUGUAAAGGCCUACCAAAGCGACGAUCAGUAGCUGGUCUCAGAGGACGACCAGCCACACUGGGACUGAGACACGGCCCACACUCCGACGGGGGGCAGCAGUGGGGAAUUUUGGACAAGGGGGGAAAGCCUAAUCCAGCAAUGCCGCGUGUGUGCAGAAGGACUCCGGGUUGUAAAACACUUUUGUCCGGAAAGAAAUACUUGGCUCUAAUACGGUCGGAGGAUGACGGUACCGGAAGAAUAAGCACCGGCUAACUACGUG
rnacentral:rRNA from 1 species